rnacentral:rRNA from 1 species
UUGUGCCUACGGGAGGCAGCAGUGAGGAAUAUUGGUCAAUGGGCGCAAGCCUGAACCAGCCAAGUCGCGUGAGGGAUGACGGUCCUAUGGAUUGUAAACCUCUUUUGUCGGGGAGCAAGGCCCGCCACGUGUGGCGGGAAGGGGAGUACCCGAAGAAAAAGCAUCGGCUGACUCCGUGCCAGCAGCCGCGGUAAUACGGAGGAUGCGAGCGUUAUCCGGAUUUAUUGGGUUUAAAGGGUGCGCAGGCGGAAUGUCAAGUCAGCGGGAAAAUUUCGGGGCUCAACCCC